AUGUGUUACCCGGCAGCUAGGGUUUUGGAAGUGCUCACAUAUAAGGCCUUGCUUCUCGCUUUACAGCGGCUAAGAGAACCCUAAGCCACCCAAGCGUCGACGCUGCUAGAUCCAUCGUUUUCUUUCCGAGAUGGCCAAGUCGAAGAAUCACACCGCCCACAACCAGUCCCGAAAGGCCCACAGGAACGGUAUCAAGAAGCCUAAGAGGCACCGCCACACUUCCACCAAAGGGAUGGACCCCAAGUUUCUGAGGAACCAGAGGUACGCCAGGAAGCACAACAACACCAAGAACGAAUCCGCCUCCGGUGAAGAGUAGAGUGAGGCCUUCCAAUCAUGGCUCUGAUUGGGUUUUUCUCGAUUAGGGUAUUUUGAUUUCGAUGCCGUUUUAUGCUUACUUUGUCGUUAGUAACAUAGUAGUUUGAUGUUACUCAAGUGGGAUUUAUUUCAAUUUCAUGUACGAGCAGUACUCCUAAUUUAUUACUUCUGUUAAAGAGAUUACGAGGUUUUGAGAUACUUUCUGUGGUUCUGCAUUCUUUUUAUCGAUUGAAAUCGACGAACGCUUAAUCGUAAUCUUAUUAAAAUGGUAUGGAAUUUCAAUUUCUUUAAUUUAGAUUACUUGUAUGGAUUGGAUUGUGGUUGAUAAUUGUAUUUGGGUUCGAUAAGGUAGGAGCUAGUUGCUCUAAUUUUUAGCAAGCAUUUUUG
rnacentral:sRNA from 1 species